GAUGAGCGCUGGCGGCGUGCCUAAUACAUGCAAGUCGAGCGAACGGACGAGAAGCUUGCUUCUCUGAUGUUAGCGGCGGACGGGUGAGUAACACGUGGAUAACCUACCUAUAAGACUGGGAUAACUUCGGGAAACCGGAGCUAAUACCGGAUAAUAUUUUGAACCGCAUGGUUCAAAAGUGAAAGACGGUCUUGCUGUCACUUAUAGAUGGAUCCGCGCUGCAUUAGCUAGUUGGUAAGGUAACGGCUUACCAAGGCAACGAUGCAUAGCCGACCUGAGAGGGUGAUCGGCCACACGGGAACUGAGACACGGUCCAGACUCCUACGGGAGGCAGCAGUAGGGAAUCUUCCGCAAUGGGCGAAAGCCUGACGGAGCAACGCCGCGUGAGUGAUGAAGGUCUUCGGAUCGUAAAACUCUGUUAUUAGGGAAGAACAUAUGUGUAAGUAACUGUGCACAUCUUGACGGUACCUAAUCAGAAAGCCACGGCUAACUACGUG
rnacentral:rRNA from 1 species